rnacentral:lncRNA from 1 species
GUGUUGUGUAAAAGGUACUGUAGUUUUACUUUUUUCAUGUUUGUUCAUUUGUUUUUUUAAUCGAUAUUUAUAUUUACAAAAUUUAAGUUACAGUUUUCAGUUCAAAACCAGUUAUUUGUCAUACUAUAAAAUUAUCACCAAUUCAUAUUGAAUGCAUACUAACAAUACCGUUUCGUAAUCUGUACACAUUUAUCUAUUUAGAAGUAGAAGCACACAAUUAACACGUCCUAACGAACCAAGGACAACUGUCGGAAAAGAAGUAGUGUAUGCACAAUCAAACAAGCCGAGCGUUAAACGUGAACAAAGCACGUCAAGCCAAAAAUAAGACGAUACAUACGACCACAUGGAUCAUCGUCAACUAAUUUAGACCCACAAUCCAACAGAAAGCAACUAUGACAAUAUGCGCAGUAUUUGGAUCGCAGGUGAAGAGGAAAACAGCUAUGAUCAUGUUACCGGAACAAAUAUGGAACCUACAUAUGUUAUAGUUGAUAUUGCAACAAAUUACAGUCAUGUUGAAGUGGAAUGCAACG